GAACGCUGGCGGCGUGCUUAACACAUGCAAGUCGAACGGAAAGGCCCUGCUUGCAGGGUCCUCGCGUGGCGAACGGGUGAGUAACACGUGGGUGAUCUGCCCUGCACUUCGGGAUAAGCCUGGGAAACUGGGUCUAAUACCGGAUAGGAGCCAUUUUUAGUGUGAUGGUUGGAAAGUUUUUUCGGUGUAGGAUGAGCUCGCGGCCUAUCAGCUUGUUGGUGGGGUAAUGGCCUACCAAGGCGGCGACGGGUAGCCGGCCUGAGAGGGUGGACGGCCACAUUGGGACUGAGAUACGGCCCAGACUCCUACGGGAGGCAGCAGUGGGGAAUAUUGCACAAUGGGCGCAAGCCUGAUGCAGCGACGCCGCGUGGGGGAUGACGGCCUUCGGGUUGUAAACUCCUUUCGCUAGGGACGAAGCUCUUUGUGACGGUACCUAGAUAAGAAGCACCGGCUAACUACGUG
rnacentral:rRNA from 1 species